UAAGGAAUAUUGCGCAAUGGGCGACAGCCUGACGCAGCGACGCCGCGUGGGGGAUGAAGGUCUUCGGAUUGUAAACCCCUUUCGGCAGGGAAGAUGGAACGGGUAACCGUUCGGACGGUACCUGCAGAAGCAGCCACGGCUAACUUCGUGCCAGCAGCCGCGGUAAUACGAAGGUGGCAAGCGUUGUUCGGAUUUACUGGGCGUACAGGGAGCGUAGGCGGUUGGGUAAGCCUUUCGUGAAAUCUCCGGGCCUAACCCGGAAAGUGCGGAGGGGACUGCUCGGCUAGAGGAUGGGAGAGGAGCGCGGAAUUCCCGGUGUAGCGGUGAAAUGCGUAGAGAUCGGGAGGAAGGCCGGUGGCGAAGGCGGCGCUCUGGAACAUAUCUGACGCUGAGGCUCGAAAGCGUGGGGAGCAAACAGGAUUAGAUACCCCCGUAGUCCCUGAGCGGGCUGGCAAGGCGCAU
rnacentral:rRNA from 1 species